rnacentral:tRNA from 1 species
GGGCAUUUGGUACACUGGUUAGCACUCUGGACUUGUAACGGAGGUUUGCGGUUCGAGCCCGACCAGUGGGCG